GAGAACACUAACACCGAGGUGCAGGUUUAUAAAUUCUCAACACAUCUCACAUAAUCAUCAAAUCACAUAUAAACAGUCUACAACUUACCUUGUACUCACCUGAAUGUCCACAGCGUCAAAUCAUAUUUAUGCAUACUAUACUAUUUCAUACUCUAAAUAUAAAUCAAUAUGCAUGACAUUUCAAAACAUAAUUUCAUUUAAACGCAUUUUCUGGGAAAAGUACCAAUUAUAUAAGUAUACAUUGAAAACCAAAAGCCCACUCACUGAUAUGUGGAAGGGUCGUAACCCCCGAGCCUUACUUGACUGCGCUCGUUCUCAAGAUAGGUCUCACCUAUAUGCGAAACAACUAUUUAAACGUUAUUUUAAAGCACAUACACAAAUCUAGGUAAUAACUUCUCAUACAUAGCUCAAUUGGGGUAUUUGAAUAUACCACUAUGACCUACUCAACCUCAGGAACA
rnacentral:lncRNA from 1 species